GGCGCUUGGGCUGUGGAACACCCUCUUCCCCCAUGUAGCUCCUGGUGCAGAACUCCCCAGCAGCCAGGGUGCUGCUUUUGUGCCGUCCUGGGAUGCUGGCGCCCCCGGCAGCCUGGGGUGCUGCCUGGUCCCAGAUGCCCGGGGUGCCCCUUUAAAGUUCCCGUUCCUGGACAGAGGACUGGCUCCUCUUAAAUUGCCGAUUCCUUGAGGGAAAGACAUGCUGCAGGAGGCCGGUUUUAUUUUGUCUUUUACUGAAAUGUGAGUCCGGGGAGACCCUUCGGCUGAGCCCACAAGGCACCAUCAGCUUCUCACCUCUGGGGCCUUCUCCUCUCUUCAGUGUCCACCUUCAGAGGCUCUCCCUGGUCCUCCUUGUCCUAGAGGAGAUUGGAUGCCAAGUCAAGGAAGGAGCCCAAAGACUCACAGGGGAGGAAGCCAUCUGAGUUUUUCGGUGCAGAACCCAUUGGCUCCGGUGGUGAGGAGGGACAUAAUUUCACCUCCAGCAGUGCUCCUGAGUCCAGGAAUUGCCACCCCCACCCCAAAGAUCCUCCUCUGGCCAGCAUAAAGGGGUGAAUAGUGACUGGCACCAGUAAUUUUCCCUUUCCCCUUACCACCAGUCCCUCAACUGGAAAUGGCGCCCCAUGGGACACCCUAACUUUGUCCCCUGCCAGAGGCCUCAGCUUCCUCCCCUACUUCUGAGCUCACACUAACAGCCCCUCCUGCUAUCCAGUGGGUGAGGUCAGAGGGAUGGUUUUUCACCCAUAUGAACUCAGAAGGGGCACCCAACUUCCUCACUCCCUGGGCCCUCGUUAACUCUCCAACCAGGCCAAGACACUGUCUCUGUUGUCCAGAUGCUGGGGCCCCUGUGCUCAGCCCAAAACAUGCUCAGCUUUCUGAAUAAAAUAAUUUCAAAAUGGUGUCUACAAAUAUUGGAACCCCCCUCCACUAAAAU